rnacentral:rRNA from 1 species
UACAGGGGUCUCAAGCGUUGUUCGGAUUCAUUGGGCGUAAAGGGGGUGUAGGUGGCGCCGUAAGUCGGGUGUGAAAUUUCGGAGCUUAACUCCGAAACUGCAUUCGAUACUGCGGUGCUUGAGGACUGGAGAGGAGACUGGAAUUCAUGGUGUAGCAGUGAAAUGCGUAGAGAUCAUGAGGAAGACCAGUGGCGAAGGCGGGUCUCUGGACAGUUCCUGACACUGAGACACGAAGGCCAGGGGAGCAAACGGG